ensembl:lncRNA
CCAUAACAACAGGACUACAUUUCCCAUAGCCCUUUGCCCCCCAGGGUCUGGGUGAGCUCAGCCAGUGGAGGCCCCGGUGAAAGAGUGGAUGGCCAGAUGAGGGAGAGGCUAGUGGGGCUAACAUACGAGUUGGCCGACUGAGUUGUGGGUUGCACACGCCCCGUGUGGUGGGCCUCGUCUGACUAGCACCAAACGCCCAGCCUCCUCUGAGCAAGGCAGCCUUCCCCAGCAGCUGGGCUUCAGACACCAUCUGCAGCAUCCACUCUCCCUGGUUCUACAGCAGAUCGUUUGCAGAAGCUUAGUGAACAUCGGGCCUUCUGGUCUCCAGCUUGGAAACUUUGUAUUUGCCAGCCUCUGUAAUCACCCAGUGACUCAUCUCCACCACGGGGGCUCUGAGGACUGCUCUCAGGGGAGGCCCAGCCCAGCGGGCAAGGGGGCAGGAGCUGGGCUGCUGUGUCCCCCGACCCGAAGGCCAAGCCUGGCUGAGCAGUGAGGCGGUCACUGCCCCCACCUGCUCCCCUGGAACAGCAGUCUCUGGAUGCCCAGGACACACUCGCUGGGCCGAGGGAGGCACCUGGGCGAAUGAGGAAGGGACGGACGAGGUGUUUUCUGAGGUCUCGACACCCUGUCCGGUUCUCCCCCCACGCAGUGGUGACUCGGGGCCGCCCACACUCACCUAGAACUAUCACAGCAUUGUUAAUCGGC